rnacentral:misc_RNA from 1 species
AAACACAUGUUGUUUUGUCAAUUUGUGACCUGCGAAAUUGUCGAUUGAAUUGUAUAAUUUAGGUUGUGUAUUAAAAAAUACCUGACCAGGAGACGGGAGGAGAACGACGAAAAAGAUACGAUAUGGGACGGUUUUUAUUCUCAACUGUAAACUUGGUUUGGAAAACUUUCCCUAGACAUUACUGUGCUGCUCAGGCUGCUAAAAGUAACCUUAGCCAACUACGAAAGAAAACGGGUAUACCACUGAAGAAUUGCAGAGCUGCACUUGAGAAAUUUAACAACAACCUAGAGGAGGCAGAAAAAUGGUUGAUAGAACAAGCACAGAAAGAAGGUUGGGCCAAAGCAGACAAGUUACAGUCCCGCCCGAUGUCCCAGGGGUUAGUGGGGGUUUUGCAGUCCAGAGCAGGAGCCACCAUGGUUGAGGUGAACUGUGAGACAGACUUUGUGGCCAGGAAUGAGAAGUUCCAGGAGUUGGUGUACCGCCUCACCACUGCCUGUCACGACAACCUACAGCAGGAUACAAAUAAGAAAUUCCUACAACAUGAUGCUGUAAAUGACUUGCCCUAUGAGGACAAAAAAAUGUCUGAUGCCGUAGCUUUGGAGGUUGGUACCAUUGGUGAAAACAUGCGCCUACGCCGGGCUAUAUUCCUUCCUAAAUUAGAGGGACAGUUUCUGAACUCGUAUGUUCAUAACUCAGACAAGAAGGUGGUUAUUAAUGACUGUCACAUGGGAAGGUUUGGGACUCUACUGAGUGUACAGCAUACAUCAGGAACAGAUUCAGAGGAGUCCAUAGAAACAGUCACCAAAGGUCUCUGCCAACAUAUAAUUGCUUCUUCUCCCUUAAGUAUAGGAAACCCAGCGGACAAACCUUCUACCAACACACAGGAAGAGACCCGGCUUCUGUUCCAGGAGUACGCGCUGGACGAGGAAGUGACGGUGAAGGAAAUUCUGGACGAGAAUGACCUGACUGUGACCGACUUUAUUAGAUUUGAGUGUGGGGAAUUACUACCAGAGGAAAAAGAUUGAAUCAUUUUUCUGUUGAUUAUUUUACUCAGUUUGGAAUUAUUUUUAUGAAUUGUAACAGAACAUCAGGAAUGGAUUAUGAGGUUUCUUGUUAUUUGUCCUUUGACUAUUAUGCGAGUACUGAUACUAAUGUAUAUAAUCCAAUUAUCAUUAGUACAUGUACUUAACUGGUAAAACCUCAGUCAAUUUUGAUUUAGUUUAGCUGCUCUAAAUCAAUUUUGAAUCAGAGAUUGAACCUGUUUUGUGGAGGUGUUAUCUUCUACUAGUCCUGGGUUGUAUUUACUGUAUGUCUAAAGCUAUAUAUUCUAUAAUAAUUGUGUAUUAAUAUACAUGUAGUGGUAAAUGUGUCUGAUUUCCAACACUCUUACUAGUUAUACAGCAUGUAAAGCUUUGUUAAAUUGGAGUAGUUAUUCCUAUUGCAGCUUCAGACAAGCAGUAUAUUGCUUUGAAUGAGUUUGGUUUGAAAAAAGGACUAUAAAUAAUUUAUGAAAAUUUUAUAGGAAUUUUGUAGCUGGGUUUCAUAUUCAUCCGAUUUGAGUCAUAAUGCUGUGAAACCUGUCCAUAUGGUGUAAAAAUCUAUAGCUCAUAUUAUUAGUUUAACAAUUUCAUUGUUUCUUCAGUUCAAACAAUUUUAUGACAGCAAUUUCAAUGCAUUUGAAAUAAAAAAUGUAUCAUUUAAUAAUAAUGUAACAAUUCAUGAUUACAUGUUAUUUGAAACUGAAUUGUAUCGUAUCUCAUGUGUUGAUUCAUGGACAAAACACAAUCGUGACAUAAAAUUGGUGUUUUAAUUAAUAAUUAAUUGACAUUGUACUAGAUAAUAAACUGAAGCAGUGAACAUGCUGGAUUUAUGUAGUGAAUUAUGCCUAUGCAUCUGAGAGUAAGACAAGGUUUAUCUUUGUUCAGAUUAUGAUGUAACAAGAACCACGGAUGUCUUGUUGACAACCUCAGCACCAAAACAACUUCCGUUUCUCUGGUCGCACUGGUCCACGGCGAGGAAGGAACAAGUUGGUAGCAGGAGCUUUCAUACCUCCUCAGUGCGAGAUAAAAACCUUACGCACACUGACAGUAGCGGCAAAGCAAAAAUGGUUGAUGUCGGCGACAAAGAAAACUCGGUCAGAACUGCAGUGGCCUGUGCAUCUAUUUAUUUGGGAGAAGAGGCGUUCUAUUUAGUCGAGGCAAACAAAACCAAGAAAGGGGAUGUUCUCUCUGUGGCUCAGUUAGCAGGGAUAAUGGCUGCCAAGAAAACUGGAGAGCUAGUGCCACUAUGUCAUAACAUUGGACUGAGUAAAGUAUCAGUGGACCUGACACUGUACAAACACAACUACUCUGUUUAUAUUGAAUGUGAGGCUAAAACUGUAGGAAAGACUGGGGUAGAGAUGGAGGCCAUUACUGGUGCCUCUAUGGCAGCUAUCACAGUAUAUGAUAUGUGUAAGGCUGUCAAUAGGGAAAUGGUGAUAUCUAACAUAAGGUUGCUUAGUAAGAAAGGGGGGAAAAGUGGAGAGUACCAGUUUGUUCCUGAAUAAAAUCUUCUUACUCU